GUUUCUUUCAAGCGGCUUUCUCCGGUCACGAGGGAGAGAAACUUUUUUUUUUUUUAAUUUAAGAAGGAAAAAUAGUUCUUAAACUGAUAAAUAAUCACCAGGUUCCAGGAGCAGGGGAUUUUGAGCAGGCACUGCAUGAAGCCAUGGCUGAAAGAUGCAGUUACAGCUCUGUACCUGGAACAAUCAAACAUCAUCUCAGCUGCUUUGGGAAAAGGUGUGCAAAAGGUCUGCUCCAUGCUCUGGGUGUCUGAGAAAUCAACACAGGAUACAUCUCAGACUCUGCAUGGCAUCUUCACUCCUCUAUGUGAACAAGAGCAGAACUGACAAAAUUCUUCAGCUGAAACAUCUGAGGAACGACAUCUCAUCAAAGAUGGACGUUUCCAUGGAAAUAUGUUUCGGAUGAAAUUUUUUUGAGUCUUUCACAGAUAAAAUAUAAAUAACUGGUUGGACAAGUUUUCAAUAAAUCAAAAUAGAAACUUUUUGCUGGAGAAACU
rnacentral:lncRNA from 1 species